rnacentral:rRNA from 1 species
CAGCCGCCACGGGAAUACAGAGGGUGCAAGCGUUAAUCGGAAUUACUGGGCGUAAAGCGCGCGUAGGUGGUUUGUUAAGUUGGAUGUGAAAGCCCCGGGCUCAACCUGGGAACUGCAUCCAAAACUGGCAAGCUAGAGUACGGUAGAGGGUGGUGGAAUUUCCUGUGUAGCGGUGAAAUGCGUAGAUAUAGGAAGGAACACCAGUGGCGAAGGCGACCACCUGGACUGAUACUGACACUGAGGUGCGAAAGCGUGAGGAGCAAACAGGAUUAGAUACCCCGGUAGUCCCUGUCUCUUAUAC